AGAGUUUGAUCCUGGCUCAGAACGAACGCUGGCGGCAUGCCUAACACAUGCAAGUCGAACGCUUCUCUUCGGAGAGGAGUGGCGCACGGGUGAGUAACGCGUGGGAACCUGCCUUGGAGUGGGGGAUAACCGAUGGAAACGUCGGCUAAUACCGCAUACGUCCUGAGGGAGAAAGAUUUAUCGCUCUGAGAGGGGCCCGCGUCGGAUUAGCUAGUUGGUGGGGUAACGGCCUACCAAGGCGAUGAUCCGUAGCUGGUCUGAGAGGAUGAUCAGCCACACUGGGACUGAGACACGGCCCAGACUCCUACGGGAGGCAGCAGUGGGGAAUAUUGGACAAUGGGCGCAAGCCUGAUCCAGCAAUGCCGCGUGAGUGAUGACGGCCUUAGGGUUGUAAA
rnacentral:rRNA from 1 species